CAAUCUUUCACGUCGGGUUCACCACUUAUGUCGUAUUACGUGCUUUCCUGCUCGAGAACGUGCCGGGCGUCUGGCUGUAGAAGGUAGUAUGGAGAUUUACCGAUAGUCAAGCAGUCUAUCAGUUUUUGACUGCUGGAAUAUAAACGACUGCAACAAUGUACCGUAAAUCUAUACGGAUGCUCUUCGAUUGCUUGUCGAAGUCUUUUUUUUUUUUUUUUUUUUUUUUUUUUUUUUUUUUUUCCAGCCGAUAGGUCUCUAGACGUUACAAAGAACCCCGAACAACCCAAACUGUUAAUCU
rnacentral:lncRNA from 1 species